rnacentral:rRNA from 1 species
UACGUAGGUGGCAAGCGUUGUCCGGAUUUACUGGGUGUAAAGGGCGUGUAGCCGGGUUGACAAGUCAGAUGUGAAAUCCUGCGGCUUAACCGCAGAACCGCAUUUGAAACUGUUGAUCUUGAGUACUGGAGAGGCAGACGGAAUUCCUAGUGUAGCGGUGAAAUGCGUAGAUAUUAGGAGGAACACCAGUGGCGAAGGCGGUCUGCUGGACAGCAACUGACGUUGAGGCUCGAAAGCGUGGGGAGCAAACAGG